rnacentral:rRNA from 1 species
UACAGAGGUCCCGAGCGUUGUUCGGUUUCACUGGGCGUAAAGGGUGCGUAGGUGGCGAGGUAAGUCGGAUGUGAAAGCUCGGAGCUCAACUCCGAAAUGGCAUUGGAAACUACCUUGCUCGAGGGUUGGAGGGGGGACUGGAAUUCUCGGUGUAGCAGUGAAAUGCGUAGAUAUCGAGAGGAACACCAGUGGCGAAGGCGAGUCCCUGGACAACUCCUGACACUGAGGCACGAAAGCUAGGGGAGCAAACAGG